GACAGAGGGUGCUAGCGUUGUUCGGAAUUACUGGGCGUAAAGGGCGCGUAGGCGGUCUGCUAAGUUCGGUGUGAAAUCCCCUGGCUCAACUGGGGAACUGCGCUGGAAACUGGCAGACUCGAGUACCGGAGAGGAGAGUGGAAUUCCUGGUGUAGCGGUGAAAUGCGUAGAUAUCAGGAGGAACACCGGUGGCGAAGGCGGCUCUCUGGACGGAUACUGACGCUGAGGAGCGAAAGCCAGGGGAGCAAACGGG
rnacentral:rRNA from 1 species